rnacentral:rRNA from 1 species
UUUUGCCUACGGGAGGCAGCAGUAGGGAAUCUUCCACAAUGGACGAAAGUCUGAUGGAGCACCGCCGCGUGAGUGAAGAAGGGUUUCGGCUCGUAAAGCUCUGUUGGGAGUGAAGAAAGAUAGAGGGAGUAACUGGCCUUUAUUUGACGGUAAUUACUUAGAAAGUCACGGCUAACUACGUGCCAGCAGCCGCGGUAAGAAGUAGGUGGCAAGCGUUGGCCGGAUUUAUUGGGCGUAAA